GGAGGGGAGGGAUCAGCGAGGUUGUGGGGGAUCAUCCUGAGGCCUGAAGAAAGGGUCCAUGGAUGGGGGUGGCAGCGGUUUGGGAGCCCCUGGUUGUUCUGUCCAGGCAAUCAAAUGUUAAUUAAAGCUGGGUAGAGAGGAGGCUGCAAAAAUGGCCCGCAGUAGAAUGGGAGGUGGGAGUGGGAAAAGAUUUAGCCAUAAGGAGACCCUGCCGUGGCUACCAGGAGAAACUCAGGCCCAGCCAGGAGUGGGGUAAAAAGACCCAACUGAGCUAGCCAGGGGUACGGGGACGUGGCAGAGGAAAGGUCUGAAGAGCAGUCCUGGCCCCUGGAAAGGCGGUAAGAAAGGGCGAUUAAGUAAAUGUUCUGCCUCCUGGCUUUCAGACCUCAGCCUCAUCCUGGGUCCUGACAGAGAAAAAUCCGCCUCUGAUGGAAUCAUUAAGUUAACCAUCCAUUUGUACCAUUUCUUUGUACAGGCUUUCAAAUGAGAGAGAGUGAUAGAAUAUAGAGUGAGUACUUUCCCCCUGGUGCAGCCCCAAGCCUAGUCCCUAUCACAGACACAUCAGCCAAAUCGGUUUCCCAGGCCCCAGAGGCUGCUAACCUUGCGGAACAGGAUUUUUUGGAUUUCUAUCUGUAAGGAGUAUUAAAACACAGUAAUUACCUAUACUAGCUUCCCAUUUCUUCUCUCUCCCCCAUUCUGUACAAGCCAACCCACCCUUGAGUGAAGUGCAUCUUCUCAGUCAUAAGUCUUGGGAGCCUAGGCUCUCCAUCUGUUGAGGUUUGUUCAUUAGGGAGGGACAAGGGGAUGUGUGUGGGUGUAUGUUUGAAUAACAAAGAAGAAACCCAACAUUCUAAUGAAAAGUGUUCCUCUGCUUGACCUGGAGGAGGCAGAAGCUUGUUUACACUGUCAGUGUUCAAGGGACAGUCACAGGCCUGUUUGCUUUUAUCCUGAGGAUUAGUUGAAACUUUCUCUCCCAGUAAAGAACUGGUUAAUCCCAGUUACAGAUCCAGGAAGGUCCUCUUCAUCUGGGAGUUCUUGGUGUUACUUCGGUCCUUCUUUCAGAAACUGUAAGGGAAAAAAAGGGGGGGGGGGAUGAAGAGAAGUUUGUGAGUAUUAAAUAAAAAUAAAAAGAGGGGCAGGAGGCCCCAGUUCCCACAGGCCUACAGCCUCACCACUUUAGGGCACUGUGCCUUCCCAGAGAGGAUAUAGCUACCGGUGAGCAGACUUCUCCCUAGACACUUUGGACACAGUUGAGACUGAGUCACCAGCCAUACCCUCCACCAUCUCUGAGCACUGGCUCACUCUUGCAGAGGGCCCGGAUGGAGAGGAAAAACGACUGGGUAGGUGAAUCCUCUGUACUUACAGCAUUGUUGGUACUGGUGGUGGUGAAGAUCAUCACAGAGGGUGAAAUUUUAGUUUUCACUGUUCCCCUCUCUUCUGGUGCAGCUACACAUGCCCUUAUCCUUGGGGCCCAAAGUUGGUACCAAAUGGAUUUACACACCUGGCCCAAAGUCCACGCCUAAACACCUCCCUCAGGUCUCAUAACCACCUUGGCAAGUUGGAAUGGUACAAGGGGAAUUCAAGGACCCACUUUCAGGCCAGGGGCAGCCUGAAGCACAGUGAACAAGUUUGCUUCCACACAUGAAGAAGAGGAAAUGUAAAUGGAUGUCCAAUCAUUUGCAGUAGCAGAAGCAGGUGAAAGGUCCCUAGGAGAUUUGCAAGGUGGGCAAUAGUAGGUAAAUCCUCUUGUCUUAGAUCCUGUGGCAAAAUAUCUUGACUGGUUCCUAUGGCUAGUCUGGAUCAAUUUAUGGAAGAAUAAUAUCUGGAAAAUAAUGAAAAUGGGAUGUUUACAUCAGUAAGAGUCCAAGGAGGAGACUUUAAAUUAGGAUUCGUGGAGAACAGAUGAAGUGUUUUUACUGGGAAAGCAGGCCUAAAAUCAGGCCAAGAGGACCUGUUGGGCCACGGCCUUUCCGAAAGAGGGGAGAAGAGCCUAGCUGCCUUGGGAGGAGACCAGGGAGAAGGCCUUUUGAUGGCUCUAUUGUUCCAAGCGCUUGCCCUACAAAUACCACAUCCCUCCCCGUCUCUUCCGCAAGGGCAGAGCGGGAAACUGGGUCGGUCGGUUGGGCCGAACUCGAAGUAGCGACAGCGCUGGCACCAACCUCUCGGCCCCUUCUGCGGCCCCUUGGGGCGGCAACGGCGCGCCAUUCCCGUCGCAGGCCCAAAACACACAAAGGAAGCCCCCACCCGUCCUCAGAUGUGGGGACACUCUGGGGAGGAGGCUGGCGUGGACCCCGAGUCUGAGCACCUCCCUCCCCCGCGGGGAACAAUAGCCGCCGCCUCCCCGGGGCGGCCGGGCGGUCGCGCGGCACAAAGGCCGGCUCCGGGCCGCGCCACCAUGUGACGCGCGCGCUCGUUCCGCGCUCUCCGGCCUGCAGCCGGGCGCAGUCAGCAGAGAGCCGGAGCGGCCAGGCUGCCUCAAUCCACCUGGCACACUUUCCGAAAGACAAACGCGGUUCCUCCUACUUCAGAGCAAGUCUGGGCCAGCUGGGAGCCGACCAGAAACCGCAAGCAGAGGAGACACAGGCACCCGGGGUGAGCGCUCACGGAGGGCGCGACCCGCUGCCCCAAGCUCUGCGGCGCGAGGCCGGACACCCCCCCCCCCCCCCACUCCCGGUACUCCCGGCCGCCUGCCGGCCCCGCCUCCGGACCCCUUGCAGCCCACGGCUCUCCUAAGGGGCGGCCCCCGCGCCCUCCCCAGACGCACGGAGACUGUAUACCCUGCCCCCCCCCUGCUCCCCGCCCCCUGUCACACGCUUAGCGCAGCUGUACCCCUGGAAAGGGAAGAGGAAAAUCCCAGGUUUUGCAGACACUAUGUAAGAGUCUUAAAAAAAAAAAAAAAAAAGAUUCCCAGGGGACUAGAAUUCAGGGAUGGGGCGGAGCUAGUUUAGUUCUCUUAUUUACCUGCAGGAGUCAUUUAUUUGGAAGGAAGCAAGGGUAUCCCUGUUAAACUUGGAACUAAACCUGAAUGCCAUAUAAAAAAGAACAAUAAAAAUACACGUAAAAUGCCAACCAUAAUGAUAUGCCUCUCCUCUCUUUUCAAGUGUGAAGGAAGGACUGGAGUAUUUUUACUUCAGCUCUUUUGGGGUUCAUUUUAGAAAUACCAGAAAGGGAUAGACUGAAAACUGUGAGCGUUGGUGGAGGGAGAGAGAAGGAGGUCAUUAGCAUUAGAGCUGUUUGCAGCAGGAGGUCAUGGGUAAAGUGGGUGGUGAAGCGUUCUUAUGGUGGUGCUUGUAGUCCUCGGUAAGUUCUAAGAAAGUUUCAGGCUACCCCCUCUUUUACCCUCUUUUUGAGUGACAUCAGCUGAGAAAUUUCUGACGUUAGUUAAAAGUUGUUGCCUUAGCCUAUAGGAAAGAGCCCCUGAAAGACAAAAUCCCAGCUCCUCCCUCCCUGUCUUCUCUCUCAGCAUCCUCUCAGGUGGAAAUUAACUUGCUUUGGAGAGAUGUUCUACUAUCAUUUUACUUUCGAUAGAUAGAAGCUGUAGCAUUAAGUCUUGCACAGUGUCCUGAAUUCUUUAAGCAAUUAAAAUACUGGUCCUCUUGUCCUUGGGUCAGAGUCUCUCUCUCUCCUUGCCUUUCAGCAAUACCUGCUGAACAGCUCCUGUGUGCACUGUGCUGGGCUCUGAGAUCUAAAAAUGGGUCACGAAUAGUGUAUGCCUUUUGAUCUACUGGGGAAGAAAAAGAAUCCUAAAACUGUGACAGAUGCUAGAACAGAAGUAUGGCCUAAAGGUUCCUGGAAUAAAGAGAAGGAGCCACUGACACAAGUGUCGUGUCAGAAAAGGCUUCUCAGAGGAGGUGAAUUUUGAUUCCUGAAGUAUGAGCUUUUUAGGUCUAGGAAGGAGGGACAUACUCGGUGGAAAGAGCAGCACACGCAAGCAGGGAGGGAAGAAAGAACAAGGUCUAGACCUGGAACAAAGAGAGUUUGGAGUAGAGCAUCUGGCUGGCAAAAGAGGUUGUAUGAGGUCCGUGGAAAGGAGUCUGGAAUUAAUCUGCAGGCAGUGAAAGCCACUGAAGUUUUUAAACUGGGACAUGACGUUAUCUAUUUGGAAAGCUUGCUCUUUGGGAGGGAUGCUGUGUCUGACUGGAGGAGGGAUAGGAGGCAAGAAGGAAAGAAGAAGGGGAAGCUGCUGCAAUAAUCCAGCCUAGGGAGGAUCUAAGGUAACGAGGAUGAAGAGGGAAGACAUUUAGGAGGACAAAUUCACAGGACUUGCUGACAGUUGGACAAGUGAAAGAGGAGUUAUGGAUGUUAAUCCCUAGGCUUCUAUUUAGAGGCCCUGAUUGGGUAGCCAGGUCGUUCACCAAAAUGAAUACAGGAAGGGGAAAAAGAAGAUUUUGCAGGGGGAAACUAAGGACUUCUGUUUUAGGUCUACACUGUAUUUUCUGUUUUGCUGAUACAUUGUAUGACCCUCAACAAUACACUUAAUCUUUCUGGCC